UAUUGCACAAUGGGGGGAACCCUGAUGCAGCGACGCCGCGUGGGUGAAGGAGCGUUUCGGCGCGUAAAGCCCUAUCGGCAGGGAAGAAGGAGGACGGUACCUGACUAAGAAGCCCCGGCUAACUACGUGCCAGCAGCCGCGGUAAUACGUAGGGGGCAAGCGUUAUCCGGAUUUACUGGGUGUAAAGGGAGCGUAGACGGCGAUACAAGUCUGAAGUGAAAGCCCGGGGCUCAACCCCGGGACUGCUUUGGAAACUGUGUUGCUGGAGUGCUGGAGAGGCAAGCGGAAUUCCUAGUGUAGCGGUGAAAUGCGUAGAUAUUAGGAAGAACACCAGUGGCGAAGGCGGCUUGCUGGACAGUAACUGACGUUGAGGCUCGAAAGCGUGGGGAGCAAACAGG
rnacentral:rRNA from 1 species